UCAAUUACAAUGAUGAAGCUCUACUUUACUUGAAAAUCAUUCCGAAGUGAAGUCGAUGAUCGGCGGACAAAUUUGUUAGAGUUGGAACUAAUUGAUUUCCUCAUUCGUCAACUAACAAUCUCAUCUUAUUUGUCUAUUUGUCUAUUAUUACCUAAUUAACUCUGACUAGAAGAGCACAUCAAACUUGUAACAUGUUAACAUAACUGGCAAUGUAACGAUCAUCAUAAUGCAUAUUGCCCUUCAAGCAAAAACUUAUAUUCAGCCGACCGAACUCAUCAUGCAAUCUUGCCAUAGCCAGUUUUUUUCCACCCUACCCUACAACAGAUCGUUUCGAUCUAACUCCUGCUAAAUAUAUCCAGUCACACUUGUCAAUCGUUCGGAUUUUCGAUUGCACACGAACAGUUGGCUCAUUUUUACGAACGAACAUAAUCGCUUCCGAUGAUGUUCGCUGGCACUCUUUAACUCAUGCAUUGGCAAUUGGGUUCGUGUUUCAAAAUUUUGCGAUUUUCAAUUCUUUCAUUCUCCGCCAUCGCACGCAGUAUGAUACCGAACGAGUUUGAGUGACUCUGUUAUGUAUUAUUGAGUACGCAAUGGAACGAUGAUGCAUAGUGAAAGAUGAUCGUGUGUAUUCAGGGUGAUGAUUGAUUUUUUCCGUCCUUGGAAAAUAGCAAUCAACAGGGACAUGGAUUUGUAAAUAUUCAGACGAUGUCGGCAAGCACCAUGUUAAACGAGAUAUAUUUAUUUUGGUACCGAUGACUUGUAAAAUCUAACCCAUAUAUAGAAGCAAAGAAUUAUUUCGAAUAUAUAUACAAAGACUAAUUUACCCACCUUUUCAGAUAAUAUUUUAAAUGUAUGCGCCAUUAGUUGAAAUACAAAAUAAAUUCUGUAAACUAUAUUAGAGAAAUUCAGCAGCUGGAAGAUUUAUAUGGGAGAUCUGUAACCUGUAACUGAAACUGUUGUUGUUUGUUAUGAGUAAAUUCAGCAUCUGCCACAAGGCCCACAAGCAGUGCUGUCAACUGUUUUUUUCCAAAAAUCUGUAUUUGGCGGAAAAAUCUAUCUGUACACGCAGAGAAAAAAAUUGUAAAUAUAACCAAAUUUGGGUUUCA